rnacentral:tRNA from 1 species
UGGCUCAGCGGUUAAGAGCACUGAACUGUUCUUCCAGAGGUCCUGAGUUCAAUUCCCAG